CAGUGGUUUCGACAUCGCACGGAGUAACCCAAAAUUCCGACUCUCUGACUCUCUGGUGUCCAUACGCUUCAAUGAUGAAACUUUUUUUGAAACAAAAACUGACUCGGACAAGGACAUUCCGACUGAGUUAUUCAGAUUUCGCAGCCACGAACAGCUUCUGACAUUGGCAAACACUAACAGAGAUCUCCCAGGUAUAUCUCUUCUCUUUAAUAAACUUAUCCAAUUGCCUUCUUUCACCUCUAUUAACGUUUUUUUUUUAAUUUUUCAAGAUAUCAUUGGUGAAGUAAGUUUCGUCAGGAGCACGAUCACCUACGGUCUACGCGGUCCUCAGCGUGUAAUGAUGACUCUGCGUUUGGAAGGGUAAGCUGUAUAUUUGUUUAUCCAGUAAUUGUCAUCGUCUUUGUUGCUAACACGACAUCAAAUUGCACCAGGGAUGUCAAUGUUUGUGUCAGUAUGUUUGAUGAUCGUGCUGUGACUUUCCAAACUAAGUUUGACAAGCACAGCUCUGAGCCAAAGGUUAUACUCUUUACAAACAUCAAUCCCAAAGUUGUUGGAGGUAAGAUACGUGUUUUCACCUAGGAACCCUUCAUUAGCACGGUCCACUUACGCACUUUUCACUUUCAGGGAAGCUUUUUCUCAACGCUACGUCUGGUACCCACUUUUAUUUCGACUGUGAAACAUCAGCUGGAAAAGAGCAUUAUGAAAGGUAAGUGUCUUAUGCUGAGAUUGAUAUAGUUCACCUCAUUGGUUUACCAUUGUUUUCAGCUGUUUCUCUUUCGUGUUGUUUGCUUCGUACGUUUGACACGCUAGGCUGGUUGGUGAUGGAGCCAAUGCGAGCUCUUUUAAAUCAAAAGUGGUCCCUGCUCAGAAAAUCGACCCUUGACCGUUGCUGAACUGAACCAAUAUAUCCUUGCCGCUGACCCACAGAAUAUUGAGUUUCUGUGCAAGGCCGAGGUAACCAAUCUUCAGUCGGAGAAGGGAUGGUGCUAUAUUGGAUGCUCCAAAUGCGCAAAGAAGCUUCAGCCGGAUGAAACAUCUUUCACUUGUCUCUCAUGUGAUAGGGAAAACGCUACGGGUGUAUUAAGGUAUCGUGUGGAGUUCUCGGAGGCGGACCAUACGGAUGAGGCUGUAUUUGUAGCAUUUGACAUAGAGAUUGCUAAGCUAACCAACAUCCAAGCAUCUGAGGCUGCGCAUAUUUUGGUAAGCACUCAGAACAUGUAAUAGUAGCUUAUGCUUCUGUGUCUUUGAUCCAUUUCCGGAAUCCUAAGCCUCCAUUUGCACGGUGCGGGUGUGAAUGCUAGAGUCGACAACGACUUCCCUCCGUUCUUGAAUGAAGUAGUUGGAAAAACUUUCACUUUCCAGCUCAAGUUGGGGGAGUUCAACUUCACCUCCAAACACCAGAGCUUCACUGUCUCCCGUAUAAUAAGUGAACACGAGAGAGCGCCAUUGCCAGCGUUUGUUAACGAUGUUAGUAUUUUUUGUUUAAGUUAGAGUUUACAAAUUUUACAGCACUAUAUUUACACAAUUACGAUGGUUUCAGGAGGAUAAUCAUGGGCCCGAUGAAAAUGGAGAUGGUGCGGAACUAGCAGAUGGUGUGGCACCAAAAAUUGAUGAGAGUACCGUUGUCAACAACAAGGCAUCCGCAUCAAAUGUCCCAUAUCACGGUCCUCAGGCUGCAAACACACAGAAGCUUGUCAAUGAUGGGAACGUGAAGAAGAAGGCACGCAAGGAGUAGAUCAACCUGGAUUGCAUCAUUUCCCACCGCUUACCUAUCAAAAAAUGCUUUAUCUUUUGUUCCUCUUUUUAAUUUAAACUCUUUAGUCUCUUUUUCCUAUUAUUAUAGAUUUGAACUCUCUGUCUGGUGGAUGUUUUAACUCUGAAUGCAAUUUGAUCUUUUUCUUUCAAGAUUAUAUAGUCUUCCGUUUUGGUGAAUUGAAAUUAACCUAAGAUGCUCAUAUUUUUUUUUGUCGACUGCUCAUAUUAUUUAUUAUCCUUUAUGCUAAACAUUAUGCUUCCAAGUUACAAAAAAAAAAAAAUACAUUAUAAUUUUUAAAUUUAUAAAAUCAUGUAAAUUAGGUGAAGGUGAAGUCUAAUAUUUGUGGCAAUAUUGUUUGGGCUUUUCGUGUAAAUUCUAAACCAACUAAUACACUGUAAAUUCUAAACCAACUAAUUAGUUAAAGUUUUUCCCAUGUAUCUGUGCUGAUAAAAAAACAAUGAAUAGAAACCUAAUUAUUAG